rnacentral:rRNA from 1 species
UACAGAGGUGGCAAGCGUUGUUCGGAAUUACUGGGCGUAAAGGGCGCGUAGGCGGCCAUCUAAGUCAGACGUGAAAUCCCCCGGCUUAACCUGGGAACUGCGUCUGAUACUGGAAGGCUUGAGUAUGGGAGAGGGAUGUAGAAUUCCAGGUGUAGCGGUGAAAUGCGUAGAUAUCAGGAGGAACACCAACGGCGAAGGCAGCUCGCUGGGACGGUACUGACGCUGAGGCGCGAAAGCGUGGGGAGCAAACAGG